rnacentral:rRNA from 1 species
GUGUCAGCAGCCGCGGUAAUACAGAGGGUGCAAGCGUUGUUCGGAAUUAUUGGGCGUAAAGCGCGUGUAGGCGGCUUGGCAAGUCAGAUGUGAAAGCCCUCGGCUUAACCGAGGAAGUGCGUCUGAAACUGCUGAGCUUGAGUGUCGGAGAGGAUGGCGGAAUUCCGCAAGUAGAGGUGAAAUUCGUAGAUAUGCGGAGGAACACCGGUGGCGAAGGCGGCCAUCUGGACGACUACUGACGCUGAGACGCGAAAGCGUGGGGAGCAAACAGGAUUAGAUACCCUGGUAGUCCACGCUGUAAACGAUGAGAACUAGGUGUCGUGGGUGUUGACCCCCGCGGUGCCGCAGCUAACGCAUUAAGUUCUCCGCCUGGGAAGUACGGCCGCAAGGCUAAA